rnacentral:rRNA from 1 species
AGGGCGCAUGGCGGAUGCCUUGGCUCUCGGAGGCGAUGAAGGACGUGAUAAGCUGCGAUAAGCUUCGGGUAGGUGCAAAUGACCUUUGAUCCGAAGAUUUCCGAAUGGGACAACCCGGCAUUCUGAAGGAAUGUCAUCCAACUUGGUUGGAGGCUAACGCAGGGAACUGAAACAUCUUAGUACCUGCAGGAAAAGAAAAUAAAUAAUGAUUCCCCUAGUAGUGGCGAGCGAACGGGGAUUAGCCCAAACCACCCAUGUUACGGCAUGUGUGGGGUUGUAGGACCACGCUCUCGCAAGACAGUUAUUGAGAAGAAACGGCUGGAAAGUCGUGCCAUAGACGGUGAUAGCCCGGUAUUCUAAGGUAACCGAAGCGUAGUGGUAUCCUGAGUAGCGCGGAGCACGAGGAAUUCUGCGUGAAUCAGCCGGGACCAUCCGGUAAGGCUAAAUACUCCCGAGAGACCGAUAGCGAACCAGUACCGUGAGGGAAAGGUGAAAAGAACCCCGAGCAGGGGAGUGAAAUAGACCCUGAACCCGUCUGCCUACAAGCGGUCGGAGCAUCGUCAAGAUGUGACGGCGUGCCUUUUGCAUAAUGAACCUACGAGUUACCUUCCCCGGCAAGGUUAAGUACCUAAGGUACGGAGCCGAAGCGAAAGCGAGUCUGAAGAGGGCGGCCAGUCGGGGGGGGUAGACGCGAAACCGAGUGAUCUACCCUUGGCCAGGUUGAAGGUUGGGUAACACCAACUGGAGGACCGGAUGGGUAAGCGUUGAAAAGCUUUCCAAUGAGCUGAGGGUAGGGGUGAAAGGCUAAUCAAACUCGGAGAUAGCUCGUACUCCCCGAAAUGCAUUUAGGUGCAGCCUCUUUAUAGUAUAUCGUGAGGUAGAGCGACUGAUUGGAUGCGAGGGCUUCACCGCCUAUCAAGUCCAGAUAAACUCCGAAUGCGCGAUAUAUAUUUACAGGGAGUGAGGGCGCGGGUGCUAAGGUCCGUGUCCGAGAGGAGAAGAAUCCAGACCACCGGCUAAGGCCCCCAAAUGAUCGUUGAGUUGAACUAACGAGGUCGGAUCGCAGAGACAGCUAGGAUGUUGGCUUGGAAGCAGCCAUUCAUUUAAAGAGUGCGUAACAGCUCACUAGUCGAGCGAUCUGGCGUGGAUAAUAAUCGGGCAUAAACGAUCUGCCGAAGCCGUGGAUGUCGUAAGACAUGGUAGGGGAGCAUUCCAUGCGGCGUCGAAGAUAAGGGAUGACCCUUGUUGGAGCGCAUGGAAAAGCAAAUGUAGGUAUGAGUAACGAUAAGGGGGGCGAGAAACCCCCCCGCCGAAAGACCAAGGUUUCCUGAUCAACGCUAAUCGGAUCAGGGUGAGUCGGGACCUAAGGCAAAGCCGAACGGCGACGCCGAUGGAAGAAUGGGUUAAUAUUCCCAUACUGCCUCAUGGAGUGACGUGGAGACGGAGAAGUGACAGUCCUGCCGGCUGACGGAAUAGCCGGUUGAAGGGUGUAGAUAUUGAUUCCCGUAGGCAAAUCCGCGGGGAGAGUCGAACCUGAGAGUAUACCGAGUACUUGUACGAGGUAAUAUGGACGUAACCAUGCUCCCAAGAAAAUCCGCUAAACUUAUCCAUGCGGCACCCGUACCGUAAACGGACACACGUGGUCGGGUUGAGAAUACUGAGGCGCUCGAGUGACUCACGGUUAAGGAACUAGGCAAAUUGACCCUGUAACUUCGGGAUAAAGGGUCCUCGUCGUAAGGCGAGGCGCAGAGAAUAGGUCCAGGCAACUGUUUAACAAAAACACAUGGCUGUGCUAAAUGGAAACAUGACGUAUACAGCCUGACACCUGCCCGGUGCUGGAAGGUUAAGAGGAGAUGUCAUCGCAAGAGAAGCGUUGAAUUGAAGCCCCAGUAAACGGCGGCCGUAACUAUAACGGUCCUAAGGUAGCGAAAUUCCUUGUCGGGUAAGUUCCGACCUGCACGAAUGGUGUAAUGAUCUGGACACUGUCUCAACCGUGAGCUCAGUGAAAUUGUAGUAUCGGUGAAGAUGCCGAUUACCCGCGAUGGGACGAAAAGACCCCGUGAACCUUUACUAUAGCUUUACAUUGAAUUUGGGCAGACGAUGUGUAGGAUAGGCCGGAGGCUUUGAAGGGGGUACGCCAGUAUCCUUGGAGCCGCCGUUGAAAUACGGCCCUUCGGUUGUUUGAGUUCUAACUCCUAGGCAGGAGGACACUGUAUGGUGGGUAGUUUGACUGGGGUGGUCGCCUCCAAAAGCGUAACGGAGGCUUCUAAAGGUGCCCUCAGACCGAUUGGUAACCGGUCGUAGAGUGUAAUGGCAUAAGGGCGCUUGACUGGGAGAGAUACAACUCGAUCAGGUAGGAAACUAGAGCAUAGUGAUCCGGUGGUUCCGCAUGGAAGGGCCAUCGCUCAAAGGAUAAAAGGUACUCCGGGGAUAACAGGCUGAUCAUUCCCAAGAGCUCAUAUCGACGGAAUGGUUUGGCACCUCGAUGUCGGCUCGUCACAUCCUGGGGCUGGAGAAGGUCCCAAGGGUUGGGCUGUUCGCCCAUUAAAGUGGCACGCGAGCUGGGUUCAGAACGUCGUGAGACAGUUCGGUCUCUAUCUAUCGUGGGCGCAGGAGAUUUGAGGGGCUCUGACACUAGUACGAGAGGACCGUGUUGGACGUACCACUGGUUUACCGGUUGUCCCGCCAGGGGCACCGCCGGGUAUCUAAGUACGGAUCGGAUAAGUGCUGAAAGCAUCUAAGUACGAAGCCGGCCUCAAGAUUAGAUCUCCCUGAAGGGUGGUUAUAGACGAUGACCUUGA